UUAGAUUCUGUAAAUAAUUAAAUGUGAGAAACAGCGCCCAAUUCUUCCCUCUACUCCCCCGCAACCUCAGAUGUGAUGACUGGCAGCUGGGUUUCUCUUUCCUAAUCACAUGAACGCACAUGUAGGUGAUCAAAUUCAAUUUUUAGACACAGCGAACCGAAAAUGUAUUGAAUCAGCUAAAUGCAAUGGCAACAACAUGGAAAACUCGGACAGCGAUAAUGGGAGCAGUAGGAGAGAAGAGUUAGCUUUCACUGCCAUAGUUGUGAUCAGUUCCAGAAAGACCAAGGAAGUGGACAUUAAUGCAGUCAGGCGUUUGUUCUUCUGUGACUGUAUAGCACCUGCAAUAAACAAUCUACCCCAGUAUCUCCCCCGAUCACAAUUCUCUGGCGCCACUGCCGAUGAUUGAGAGUGACUGUAGAGAUGACGAGAAGACUGGCGGACGAUUGGGAAAGACAAAACACUUUUUUUUAUACAUUUUUACAUUUUUACAGUUUUUGUUCAAUCGCAAAACUGAU
ensembl:lncRNA